rnacentral:lncRNA from 1 species
ACAUAGUAUCUAAUGUAUUAAAAUCUAUUUUUUUUUUUAAUUUUAAUGUUUAUCCUUACUUCUUCACUAGAGAAUGACUAUAUAUAUAUAUAAGCAAAUUAAUAUUAAUUGACCCGAUAACUAAUUUUAUAUUGUUAUUGAAAUAUUAGCUAAGCAACUGAAGAGGGGGUGAAUUGAAUUUCUAAAAAUUAUGAAGUAAUUAAAUCAAAAUUCAAUGUAAAUAUCCAAUGAAAUUAAGCAAAUAACAAACAAAUAAAUAUCAACUAUCAAAAUGUAAAGAGAGAAGGGAAAGAGAAUCAAAUACGAGAUUUUUAUGUGGUUUGGCAAACUCCACUUACGUCCAUACCUCAAAGCUCACCGGGUUUGAAUAUUUCACUAUCUAAGCCUUAAAUACUAAGGUUUCAAAAUGUUUACAAUUGACUUUUAAGGUGUUAAUAAACUUUUACAACCAGAGGUUAUCCCAAACCUUUUAAUCCGAGCGUUUUCCACGCUCUCAGACACUCAAUUUAAUGUUAGAGUGAAAAUUACACAAAUUUAUCUUCACAUAAUGUAUGUAUUUACAGAUAAAAGCCCAAAGUGUGAUUUAAUGAAAUUUUAAUAAGUUUAAGCACAAAAAGGAUUGAAUACACAACAACAUGCUCAUUGAUGAUUGUAGAAUCCAUUGUAAUUUGAAUUUAAUUGAGCAUUUUUAUAGUUGGAGAUGCAAAAUAGUCGUUGUUGACUUUUUGGGCAUAAUCGAAUCACUGUUAAUGUUGUCGAAUUACUGUUUUGACUUUGUGCAAGUAACCGUUAUGCUAAAAUUUGAAUAGUCAGUUUACUGUUUUCUAGUAAUCGGUUUGCCGAUUAAUUUCAGUAACUAAUCUGCUCGAAGUCGACUUACCGCUUGGAGUUGUAUUUAUAAACAAAAGCCCAAAGUGUGAUUUAAUGAAAACUUAACAAGUUUGAAGCACAAAAAGGAUUGAAUACACAACAACAUGCUCAUUGAUGAUUGUAGAAUCCAUUGUCAUUUGAAUUUAAUUGAGCCUUUUAAUAGUUGGAGAUGCAAAAUAGCCGUUGUUGACUUUUUGGGCAUAAUAGAAUCACUGUUAACUGUUGUCGAAUUACUGUUUUGACUUUGUGCAAGUAACCGUUAUACUAAAAUUUGAAUAGUCAGUUUACUGUUUUCUAGUAAUCGGUUUGUUGAUUAAUUUCAGUAACUAAUCUGCUCGAAGUCAACUUACUGUUUGGAGUUGUUAGUAUGCCGUUUAAUUUUAGAAACCUGAAAGAAAUUAUGGCUACCCCUUUGUGCUAAAUGGUUCACCAUUUUUUGUUAAAUUGCUCUUUGGAAUUUGUCAAUUAACCGUUUUUCAAUAAAUAGUUCACCAUUAUCUUCCAGAAUCAAAAUUUAAAUGUGAUCUUUAUAAAAUCAAUUUACCGUUUCAGGAUUAACAAUUAUCUGUUUUUGUCUAGAUUUUUAAACUUGUUGAAAAACUUCAUACGGCCUAAAAAUUAAACAAUUUUAAAGACUCCAACAUUCUUAAUCUAAUUUGUUAUCAUCAAAACUAAUAUCAUGAAAAUACGUAUGUUAAUAGUUAUGUAUUUUGUUCCAUAAUCACAACAAUUUUUAUAUGAUGAUCUUUUAUACAUUGGCAUUAACAAUGUGAAAAUAUGUUAAGACAUCUUAUUUGAUUGAAGUUAAAUAUAAAUUUGCACAUAAUUACAAUUUUAACAUAUAUAUUGUCGGUGGUAAAAUGAAAGAAGAAGUAUUAAGGGCAUGACACGUGGGGAAUAUGACUAAUAAGUUUUAAAGCCCUUUAAAGGAUGAAUGGGAAGUUGAAGAAGUAAGGGCAGAAUGGAAAGAUCUCGAAAAACAAGCAUCAACCAUCCAAAUCAUUUGAGAAUAACAGGAAAUGCCUCCUAUUGUAUAUCCAAGUCCCCACAUGUUAAUACAAGACCACAAAAUAGUGACAGCCUCGCCAACAACAUAGUAACAUGUCAUCAUGUUCCGGUCCCCACUUGGGUUAUCUUUAAAAUAUCUCCUUGCAUGCCACGAAAAUCAGAUUUGAGAGAGGGAGACCAUAGGCAUAACAACCUGCAUAAUCUCUAGUGAAAUCAGGUGCACCUUAAACCAAUUGGUUCAUUUGAAAUUGGCUAAUUAGAGUUGAGGACACACUGCCAUCAAAAACUAUCUCACAGAGGACAGUUAUCCAACCCAGGCAAGCUCAAGAGCCUCAACAAGAAAGGCCAAUUUUAACCCUAAAAUCCUACUUGAGGAAGAAAACAACCAAUAAUGACUGGCUACAUAUCCAAAAGGACACAAAGUUCACUCAUUUCACAAAACACUCAAUUUUUCUUCUAUUUUAGGAUUUCUUAGACACCCUUCACCUCCUUUAACCUCCUACUAACUUGACCAUCAGAGUGCUAUCACUGGGCAUCGUUGUCGUUGCCUCUAACAGCUAUUCCAUAUGAUCUCAAGUUUGUCUUAACUGCAAUCUUCCCCCAAAAGACUAUUUCUAGGUAAGUCUUUCUCCAUCACUACCAAAAAACCACCUUCUCCAAAGAAACUCUCAUAGUGUUUUAGGUUGAACCAAAAUUAGAUCAAACCAUAUAUAUAUCCUAAACUUUGUUAGAGUUUGUAAAAGUUAUUUAAUCAUAUGCUUUAAUAGUAUGCUUUAAUAGUAUAAUGUUGGGAAGGCUAUUAAACUAUUAAACCAUGACUUAAUAAAUUUCUCAAACUUUAAUAAAGUCUAAGAUUGUAAAUACGAUCAGGGGUAGCUUUAGGUAUAGGCGGCGAACAAGGCAGUUGCCUAAGGCUCCAUAUUUUGGGAAAGCCUCAUUUUUUUUUAGUGUUUCCUUGAUAAUUUUCUAAUUAAUAAAGAUCUCACCCCCCCCCCUUUUAAAUACAUGUUUUACAAAAUUAGAAAGACUAUUAGACAUCUAUUUAAUUAUCAGUUAUCCUACAAUUAAAAAUUAUAUUUUUAUGAAUAACAGACAUUUGGUAACCUUUAAUGUUAAAAAGAUAUAAUUAAUACUAUUAUUUGACCAUUAGUUCAUUGAUUAUUAGUAUUUCCAAGAAAAAAAUUAAAUUAUAUACCCUU